AUGUGUAACCAAGUUUUUUUUUUUUUGGUUUUUUGCGAUGAAUUUGUAAUCUGUUCAACCUCUUACGAAGAGAGCUGGGCGGCCAGUUGCGCGGGAGUACAUGUUUUCAGAGAAAAACAACUACUCUAUUAUUCCAUCAGCAUCUAUCUUUUCUAUAUAUUUUUUCUAACCAAUGCGUCGUCUAUUUCAGAUGGAUUGGUGGCUUCAUCUGUGGCCAAAAGGAAGGACUCAGCCUGCCUACAUGACGACAAUUCUCGAACUGAUAAAAGAUCGAGAUAUUCAGGACCACCCCUUCCAGAGGACAUAUGGCACUAUAUACAUUCCCUGCUUCCUCUGCGAGAUGCUGCACGUGUUGCAUGCGUGUCACAUUCAUUUAGAAGUUAUUGGAGACGUUUUCCCAAUCUCAGCUUAACUAGGGCAACCCUGGGUUUGAAAAGCGGGGUGUAUGGAAUGUCAUGUAAAAAAGCGAUAGAUCUUGCCAGGAAAACCAACCACAUUCUAGGAAACCACUCAGGCAUUGGCGUUACAACACUCAAGCUUGAAAUAUGUGAUUUCCCCCUUUUCAACACCUCCCGUGAUGAUCUCGAUCGUUGGCUUGGUAUUGCGGUUAAACCAGGGAUUGAAGAACUUGACCUGGGGUUUUGUUCUCAUGCAGCUAUGUACAACUUCCCAUUCUCAAUUUUACCUGUUGGGUGGGACAAGUCAAUUCGACAGCUUCAUCUCACCAACUGUGCCUUCCGUCCCACGGCUGGAGUUGACUAUUUAAGAAGCCUGACUAGUCUGGAUUUUGAUUAUGUGCAUAUUACAGAGGAUCAGUUAAGUCGCCUUCUUUCCAGUACAGUUCAUUUGGAGAAACUGAGACUCAUGGCAUGCAAUGAGUUAAUUGCUCUGGAGAUACCUAGCUUGCUGCAUCGGCUUAGCCACAUGGUAGUCAACAAUUGCGGAUAUCUGGAAGUGAUAAGGUGCAAAGCUCCUAAUCUCUGCAGUUUUGAGUAUAUGGGCGUCUUGCCACAACUAUCACUUGGUGAUUCAUUGUGAUACCUUGACAUGCGUGCUUCAUAUGGGGAUGUUGUUCAUUAUGCUUGUGCCAAUCUUCCGCACAUGGUGCCAAAUCUUGAAGCUCUUUACAUAUCUUCGUCCUACAUGAGGAAUGCAGUGGUGGCACCUGGAAAAUUCCUGCAUGUCAAGGAUCUGCUCAUUGGGGUCUUAUCCCCAGACUAUGAUUAUUUCUCUCUGGUUUCUUUUCUUGAUGGGUGUCCUUCCCUGGAGACUUUCAUGUUGUAUGUACAGUGGGGGGAUCACAUGGAGCAAGAAUCAGUUUUAGGAAAUUCUUCUCAUGAUCUAAGACAGAUGCCAGGACACUUGCAUAGGAACAUCAAGAAUGUGCAGAUCAUUGGCUUCUGUUCUGCAAAGAGUAUAGUUGAGUUGACAUGCCAUAUGCUUGAGAAUGCGAAGUCGCUUGGGUGCCUUACACUGAGCACCUGUUUCGAGGGUGAAAAUUCGUGUUCCGACGGUGAAUACGAUAUAUGCCUCCCAAUGAACAGGGAUAUGAUCAUGGAAGCCCAUAAAGCACUCUUGGUCAUGGAGAGAUACAUUUUGCGGAAAGUUCCCUCAAUGGCCGAGUUAAAAGUUAUAGAGCCUUGUAGCCGGUGCAAUGCUCUUGAAAUUUAA
rnacentral:rRNA from 1 species